UUUAACGGCCGCGGUAUCUUAACCGUGCGAAGGUAGCGCAAUCACUUGUUUCUUAAAUGGAGACCUGUAUGAAUGGCAUUACGAGGGCCAAACUGUCUCCUUCCCCCAGUCAAUGAAAUUGAUCUCCCCGUGCAGAAGCGGGGAUAAUAACAUAAGACGAGAAGACCCUUUGGAGCUUAAGACUACAGACAGACCAUGCUAAUAAGACCAAAUAUAACGGUUAUAAGCCAAUUGGACUAACACUGCUCUAAUGUCUUUGGUUGGGGCGACCGAGGGGAAACAAAAAACCCCCAUGUGGAGUAGGAGAACUUUUCUCCCACAACCAAGAUCAACAGAUCUAAGUACCAGAAAUUCUGACCAAAAAGAUCCGGCAAAGCCGAUCAACGGACCGAGUUACCCUAGGGAUAACAGCGCAAUCCCCUUUUAGAGCCCAUAUCGACAAGGGGGUUUACGACCUCGAUGUUGGAUCAGGACAUCCUAAUGGUGCAGCCGCUAUUAAGGGUUCGUUUGUUCAACGAUUAAAGUCCU
rnacentral:rRNA from 1 species